rnacentral:rRNA from 1 species
GACGAACGCUGGCGGCGUGCCUAAUACAUGCAAGUCGAGCGAAUCAGAUGGGAGCUUGCUCCCGGAUGAUUAGCGGCGGACGGGUGAGUAACACGUGGGCAACCUGCCCGUAAGAUUGGGAUAACUCCGGGAAACCGGUGCUAAUACCGAAUAGUUUCUGACACCUCAUGGUGUCAGAGGGAAAGUUGGCUUUUAGCUAACACUUACGGAUGGGCCCGCGGCGCAUUAGCUAGUUGGUGAGGUAACGGCUCACCAAGGCGACGAUGCGUAGCCGACCUGAGAGGGUGAUCGGCCACACUGGGACUGAGACACGGCCCAGACUCCUACGGGAGGCAGCAGUAGGGAAUCUUCCGCAAUGGACGAAAGUCUGACGGAGCAACGCCGCGUGAGCGAAGAAGGCCUUCGGGUCGUAAAACUCUGUUGUCAGGGAAGAACAAGUGCCAUUCGAAUAGGUUGGCACCUUGACGGUACCUGACCAGAAAGCCACGGCUAACUACGUGCCAGCAGCCGCCGCCG